UCACACUGGAACAUCAAAGGGAAGGCCAUGGAUGACGCCGCUCCAGCCCUACUCCGACGCCAUCAAGCAGUAGCAGCAACUCGAUGCAGGGAGGAGGGAGAGGAGGAGUCCUGCUUCCCCCGCGUGCAUCUUCUCUCUCGGAACGACGCCCAACCUCAAGCGAGAGGAAGGUCUUUGAGAACCUGAAGGUUCUUUUUUUGAUUGAUAGAUGCAUGUGUGGGUGGCAGCAGAUCAACCUCCUUCUCAACCCAUGGGUAAGCCCAGCCCAUGAGAUACUCAACUUCUCUAC